rnacentral:rRNA from 1 species
AGGCCUAACACAUGCAAGUCGAACGGUAGCACAGAGAGCUUGCUCUCGGGUGACGAGUGGCGGACGGGUGAGUAAUGUCUGGGAAACUGCCCGAUGGAGGGGGAUAACUACUGGAAACGGUAGCUAAUACCGCAUAAUGUCGCAAGACCAAAGAGGGGGACCUUCGGGCCUCUUGCCAUCGGAUGUGCCCAGAUGGGAUUAGCUUGUAGGUGGGGUAACGGCUCACCUAGGCGACGAUCCCUAGCUGGUCUGAGAGGAUGACCAGCCACACUGGAACUGAGACACGGUC